AGUGGUUCUCGGGUGAUGCACCCCAGAACCAGAGAGGAGGGAGCCUGAUUCUGGGGUGGGUCACCCAAGAACCACC
rfam:Myotis lucifugus cont2.18274, whole genome shotgun sequence.